AAAACCGGUGGCUAGAGCUCAUUUCAAGUUGACAAUUUCCUAUGUUAAAAAUAAAAAUUCUUCCAAUUGAAAUUAAUUUGCACUAAAAAGGGAAGUGAACAGCAAACAUAUCUGACAACAUAUAAGAAUGUAUCAUGUAUGGCUCAAAGUUGGGGUUGUUUUUGCUGCUGUCUCCUUUGCUUUGCUAAGACUCAAGGAAGGGAAUCUGUUGUUGCUUUGUCUGACGCCAAGAAUGUCAUUGAAGCCCUCUGUCUCAAAAGCUCUCUCUCCUGAUUUUAUUCACAAUGUUAUUGCGGUUAGCACUGCUAACGGAAGGAAACCAAAUGCCUCUUCAAUGGAGCAAGGUCUCAGGGGAAAUUGGGACUCUUCUUCCUCUUCAAUGGUGCAAAAUAUCAAGGAAUGGGAAGCCAAUUCUUCCCCAGAGGCUUGAGGUUUCCAGUUUCACCGUCAGGCAAGGCAAUCGAAGGCAAGCAAAGGCCAGCAGGUCUGUUUCAUUUCCACCGAGAUCGGUGCCGGUACCGGCAACGGCAACGGCAGCGCUGGCUGUGGUGACAUCUAUGGGACGCAAUACCGAAUUCAUGCACAGACAUGAGAGAAGAACAACUGCACAGACUGUAAAUGAUGAAUGCAUCACAAAAACGGGGAGGAGUUGUGCCACCAUUUAUAUACCUCCCCUAUUUCAAUCGCCGUCACUUGCAGUGGCAGAUCUAAACACAGGCGGCGGAGCUCCACCUAGACCGGACUGGAAAGGGCGAUCAUAGCUCGAGGGCAUCGCAGAAAUACUAAAGAACCAGAACUCGCAUCGGGCAUUUAUGGCAGAGCUAUUCAUCUUAAUGGAAGUGGUGCCAUUUGCGAGGAACAUGAUCAAAGCCGUGGAGGCCUGAUAUCGGAUGUAUGCUUCAGACUCCUCUCCAGUAUGGGUAUCGGGGAUACGCCACCGCCGCUGGUUCAAGUUGCAGUGGCGGUAGCAACUUCCUCUUCUUUUUCUUUCUCCCCUGUUUUGCCACCGCCGCUACAACUCGAACCAGCGUCGGUAGCAACUUCCUUUCUCCCUCCUUCUUCCUCUUCUUUUUCUUUUUCUUUCUCCCUUGUUCCGCCACCGCCGCUGCAACUCGAACCAGCAGCGGUAGCAACUUCCUCACUGGAUGACAACCGGAUCUGAGUACCUACAUCAAAACGGCGGAUGACAA